AUUAUACUGUCAGAAACAAUGAAGACCACUUGUAUCUUAGUGAUGCUUUGCUUCUUGGCAAUCUCCUGUAUACAUGAAGGCAAUGCUGAUGAUUUGAAAGUAGUCAAACAGAACACCUGCGAGCCUGGGAAGACAUUUAUGAGGGAUUGUAACACCUGCAGGUGCAAUCUAGAUGGUACAGUCGCCGCUUGUACCAGACGCGCCUGUGUAACGCCUCUACCAAAGGCAACCUGAACACUUACAUCAUGCCAUACCCACGCACUCCUCAAUAUCCUGUAAUUUUAGCUAUUGUAUGUAAGUUGAUAGGAAAGAAAAUAAAUGUUAUGUGUACUUGAUAAAAA